rnacentral:rRNA from 1 species
CAGUCGCCGCGGGAAUACGGAGGGUGCAAGCGUUAAUCGGAAUUACUGGGCGUAAAGCGCACGCAGGCGGUCUGUCAAGUCGGAUGUGAAAUCCCCGGGCUCAACCUGGGAACUGCAUUCGAAACUGUCAGGCUAGAGUCUUGUAGAGGGGGGUAGAAUUCCAGGUGUAGCGGUGAAAUGCGUAGAGAUCUGGAGGAAUACCGGUGGCGAAGGCGGCCCCCUGGACAAAGACUGACGCUCAGGUGCGAAAGCGUGGGGAGCAAACAGGAUUAGAUACCCCAGUAGUCCCUGUCUCUUAUAC